UACGAAGGGUGCGAGCGUUGUUCGGAAUCACUGGGCGCAAAGCGCGCGUAGGCGGCCAAUCAAGUCAGGGGUGAAAUGCCACAGCUCAACUGUGGAACUGCCUUUGAAACUGAUUGGCUGGAAGAUGAGAGGGGAUAGCGGAAUUUCUGGUGUAGAGGUGAAAUUCGUAGAUACCAGAAGGAACACCGGUGGCGAAGGCGGUUCUCUGGGCCUGUACUGACGCUGAGGAGCGAAAGCGUGGGGAGCGAACAGG
rnacentral:rRNA from 1 species